CCGACUUGCCCAUAAGAUCUCAAGGCGACUUUCCUUUCUCUAAUCAAACAAUAAACAGAGACGAGGCAAAGUUUGCCCCUUUCUAAUCAAACAAUAUACAGAGACGAAGCAGAGUUUGUUUCAAAACAAACCGAAGGGCUUGGAAAAGAUGUCGUACGACGACGUGGAGAUAGAGGACAUGGAAUGGAACGAGGAGUUUCAAGCAUACACCUACCCGUGCCCUUGCGGCGACC
rnacentral:misc_RNA from 1 species